rnacentral:rRNA from 1 species
GAUGAACGCUGGCGGUGUGCCUAACACAUGCAAGUCGAGCGAACAGACGAUGAGAUUGUUCUUCUACCGUUAGCGGCUGACGGGCGAGUAACACGUGGAUCACCUUCUUAUAUUUCUGGGAUAACUUCGGGAGGCCGCAUCCGCUACUGCAUCAUACAACCUACCGCUUGAAUCAAGAGUGCUUGACGGCUUUGCCGAUACAUUUAGCUGGAUCCGCGUCGGAUUAGCUAGUUGGUAAGGUAACGGCCUACCAAGGCGACGAUGCGUAGCCGAUCUGAGAGGGUGAUCAGCCACACUGGAACUGAGACACGGUCCAGACUCCUACGGGAGGCAGCAGUAGGGAAUAUUGGACAAUGGGCGAAAGCCUGACGCAGCAACACCGCGUGAGUGAUGAAGGCCUUCGGGUCGUAAAGCUCUGUUAUUGGGAAAGAACAGAUGUGGAAGUAUCUAUGGACGUCUUGACGGUACCUAAACAGAAAGCCCCGGCUAACUACGUG